AAGACGGGGCUCUUGCUUUGUUGCCCAGGUUGGUCUUAAAUCCUUGCCUCAGGUGAUUCUCCUGCCUCAGCUUCCCAAGUAGCUGGGAUUACAGACACAAGCCAUGGCGCCUGGCUUGACUGAUAUGUUGAGAGGGGAGAGGAUGAGUGUAGAGGAAGAGCUUAACAGUUUUUUUUGUUUGUUUGUUUUCCAAGAUGGAGUUUUGUUCUUGUUGCCCAGGCUGGAGGGCAGUGGCGCCAUCUUGGCUCACUGCAACCUCCGCCUCUACGUGACAGGCAUUUUACAUAUGUUUAUAUGUUACAGGCAUUUAAUAUAUAUUUAUGUGUGUUUACAUAGAUUUAUACAUAAUAUAUGAACAAUUACAGCAACCCAUCAAAGUAUAUAAAUGAAUGAUUUUAUAUCUGUUAAGUGAUAUACCUAGUUUCUUGAGAGAUUAAGAUGAAAUUUGGACCCAGAUCUUUGAACCCCAAGUCCAUUCUCUUUCUGCUAGGGCUAAAGAACAAAUUUUGUCAGGUCUCUGGAAUCUGUUUUCCAAAAUUCUCUGUCUUCUCUCCGCAACACAUUUAACCUGUUGAUUAUACCCAGUAUCUUUUUACCACUCUGUCUUGUAUUGCUGUAAUUGAAGAUGGCAUUACCACUGGAUUAUGUAAUAACCUCUUUGUUGGUCUGUCAGCCUUUUUAGUUCCUUAACACUCUUGCCACAACUGUCUAAAAAACAAAAGUUGAAUUCUUCAUCUCCUGCUUAAAAACUGGCUCUUUGAUAACUGGAUAUAGUCCCAACUCCCAGUCACAGUCUGACCCAUCUCCAGUCUUUCUGGCUUUGUCUCACCAUUUUCAUGAUCUUCAGCUCUAGUCUCAUGAAGCUACCGGAUUGUAUCCUUGUUCAGAAUGAUUUUUAGCCUUUCUUCUGCCUUCUUCUAUAAGGUUAAAACAAAAAAAGCAUUUCAAAGCCACCUCCUUUUUUAGACUUUCCUUUUUCCCAGUCUAAGUUACUUGUUUUCUCUCUUUAGCAUUUUAUCUGUAUAUCCCUUUAUAGGACUUAAUUCAUUCUGUCCUUGUGUUUUGGUUAUUUUUGGUAAAGAACCUUGAUUUUUCUUUCUUUAUGGCAUCUGACAUGGUGACUUGGCACCCUCUAAAUUACCAAAUGGACCCUUUUAUAAACACGAUUGGCCUUUUUUCUUUUCUUUUUCUUUUUUUUUUUUUUUUUUUUUGAGACAGAGUUUUGCUUUUGUUGUCCAGGCUGGAGUGCAGUGGUGCAAUCUCAGCUCAC
rnacentral:lncRNA from 1 species